AAAUGAUUAAAGCACCAAAAAUAAGAUAAGAUAAAAUACGAAGGUCGAGGCAAGGAAAAAUCCGCCAGUGCAAGAAAAUGAGAUGUUUAGAAAGCCACAUGCUUUAUAGAAGAUAUUGCUGAGACUUAAUAUUGUGAGCAUCUUAAAAGUAGUUGCAGGACGUUGAUCCACGCAAAGCUAUAUGAGGAAAUGUCUCCAGAGGUAAUUACUUGUGCCUUCUUCUGUGGAAAACAUUGUGCCAAGGGAUAAUUGGGAUAGUUAUUGGAUAUGACUCCUCACCAGUUUUAAGGCUGUAUCUGAGGGUUGGAUGAGGGGUCCACUUCAGAUGAGUUUAGUGAUUUGACCCACAAGCAUGGGGUUCGGCAUGUGCCUGCUGUCUCCUGUCUCCUGCACUAUGGAGGAUGUGUUGCUGUGUGUAGGGUGCCAGGACACAGAUCCUCUCUGGGAAGAUUUGCAGGGCCAGCUCCUCCAGAUGAAG